GCUUGAUGAUGAUACCCUUUCAGACUGAGCAAAUUGUAGUUGGUCCUACAUUUGCACAGUUGAUGCAAGCAUAUUUCAAGACGGGGCUGAGAGCAGU
ensembl:snoRNA SNORD21 Small nucleolar RNA SNORD21